UGUCACUUGUCGGGGUGCCCGACCGGAAUUUUCCGGAAAGGCUGAGAUGAAACCCGUUGAACCUGAAGAAGUUAAAACUUCCGUAGGAAACAAGCAGGAUACCUGC
rnacentral:ncRNA from 2 species